GAUGAACGCUGGCGGCGUGCCUAAUACAUGCAAGUCGAGCGAACGGACGAGAAGCUUGCUUCUCUGAUGUUAGCGGCGGAAGGGUGAGUAACACGUGGAUAACCUACCUAUAAGACUGGGAUAACUUCGGGAAACCGGAGCUAAUACCGGAUAAUAUUUUGAACCGCAUGGUUCAAAAGUGAAAGACGGUCUUGCUGUCACUUAUAGAUGGAUCCGCGCUGCAUUAGCUAGUUGGUAAGGUAACGGCUUACCAAGGCAACGAUGCAUAGCCGACCUGAGAGGGUGAUCGGCCACACUGGAACUGAGCCACGGUCCAGACUCCUACGGGAGGCAGCAGUAGGGAAUCUUCCGCAAUGGGCGAAAGCCUGACGGAGCAACGCCGCGUGAGUGAUGAAGGUCUUCGGAUCGUAAAACUCUGUUAUUAGGGAAGAACAUAUGUGUAAGUAACUGUGCACAUCUUGACGGUACCUAAUCAGAAAGCCACGGCUAACUACGUG
rnacentral:rRNA from 1 species